UACGUAGGGUGCGAGCGUUGCCCGGAUUUAUUGGGCGUAAAGGGCGCGCAGGCGGCCACGCGCGUCCGUUGUGAAAUCGCUCGGCUCAACUGGGCGAGGUCAGCGGAUACGGCGUGGCUGGAGCAAGCUAGGGGGCAAUGGAAUUCCCGGUGUAGUGGUGGAAUGCGUAGAUAUCGGGAGGAACACCAGUGGCGAAGGCGGUUGCCUGGAGCUUUGCUGACGCUGAAGCGCGAAAGCGUGGGGAGCGAUCCGG
rnacentral:rRNA from 1 species